AUGAACGCUGGCGGCGUGCUUAACACAUGCAAAUCGCACGAAGCACUUUAUUUGAUUUCCUUCGGGACUGAUUAUUUUGUGACUGAGUGGCGGACGGGUGAGUAACGCGUGGGUAACCUGCCUUGUACAGGGGGAUAACAGUUGGAAACGGCUUCUAAUACCGCAUAAGCGCACGUCAUCGCAUGAUGCAGUGUGAAAAACUCCGUUGGUAUAAGAUGGACCCGCGUUGGAUUAGCUAGUUGGUGAGGUAACGGCCCACCAAGGCGACGAUCCAUAGCCGACCUGAGAGGGUGACCGGCCACAUUGGGACUGAGACACGGCCCAAACUCCUACGGGAGGCAGCAGUGGGGAAUAUUGCACAAUGGGCGAAAGCCUGAUGCAGCGACGCCGCGUGAGCGAAGAAGUAUUUCGGUAUGUAAAGCUCUAUCAGCAGGGAAGAUAAUGACGGUACCUGACUAAGAAGCACCGGCUAAAUACGUG
rnacentral:rRNA from 1 species